rnacentral:tRNA from 3 species
UCCCUCGUAGCUCAAUGGUAGAGCGGUUGGCUGUUAACCAAUAGGUUGCAGGUUCGAUUCCUGUCGAGGGAG